rnacentral:rRNA from 1 species
GGGCUAGAACGCAAUCGGAAUCAGGCCGAAAGGUCUGCGCCAGCGAUGGCCGCUUGCGAGGUGCUGCAUGGUUGUCGUCAGCUCGUGCCGUGAGGUGUCGGGUUAAGUCCCAUAACGAGCGCAACCCCUACUGCUAGUUGCCAGCGGGUCAUGCCGGGGACUCUAGCGGAACUGCCAGCGUAAGCUGCGAGGAAGGUGGGGAUGACGUCAAAUCAGCACGGCCCUUACGUCCAGGGCUACACACGUGUUACAAUGGCCAGUACAGAGGGCAGCCACCCCGCGAGGGGGCGCUAAUCCUAAAAGCUGGUCCCAGUUCGGAUCGGAGUCUGCAACCCGACUCCGUGAAGCUGGAUUCGCUAGUAAUCGCGCAUCAGCCACGGCGCGGUGAAUACGUUCCCGGGCCUU